ACACAAGUCUCAACUAUUUUAUGAAAAAAACUGCUUGUUGAUAUCUAUUGUACUUUUUUCAUAAUCACUGAUUAUGUUUCACUAGUUUUUCGCUCCGUUUCUGACUUUUACAUGAGUGUGUAUUGCGUCUGCUAGAGUGGAGAGCUCGCGGGCUAGAGUGUGGGGCAUCGCAGGAAUCUGGUUAAAAAAGUAUGGAACUUCUGUCCUUGCAGCCAAAGUAUACACUCUAGAGGCUUCAUUUCUUCAGAUUAAUGAGGGUAUGGUUGUGCUGAUUGGAUUAAUGAGUUCAUGGAAUCCCAGAAGUUUUUUAGUUUUGGCGCAAGGAGUGUUUGAGUGACACAACCUCUGCCAAAAGCCCCAUAGGCUCCAAUACAAAUCUGCCGACAUAUUUCUCACAAAAAUCCACAAGGUACACGUUCUGUCAACGGCCAUAGGAGCCGUAUUUAUUACCGGACAGACAUAAAAAGCACAUCCACGCGUUCGGUAGAGUCUUGGGUCUCAUACAAACGCCGUAUUUUUUAGAUAGCUGUUAUAGUUUUUCGCUGGUUCCCAUUUGUCUGAGGUGUGGAUUCUGUGUAACUAGCUGCCAUGUCUCCCCUUUUGCAGCCGCACAGGUGGCCGCACAGGUGCGGCGUUGUCGUGGUUACGAGCACUCACACGCUGCAGGAUCUGUCUGUGACUCACAGCUGCUCCUUGUGACCUGAUUAGUGGAGUCACAUGACGCAGCUAUGCUUUCUGUCAACAGACCAAUAUGAUAAAGACACUGGCCCCCCCUCCCCCCUCCACCCUGACCUCUUCUCACUGUUAAUCACUCAGUCAGUCAGUCAGUCUGUCUAAUUCUCCUCCCCUCUCCCUCUCUCUCUUCCUCACCACCAUUCCCUUCCUCACCCUCUCACCCUCCCUCCCUCUAUCUACACCCCCCCACCCCACCCAAUCCAAUAGGUGCGCCGUUGUCGUGGGUACUCGCUCACACGCUGCGGGG
ensembl:lncRNA